rnacentral:rRNA from 1 species
UACGGGGGGGGGCAAGCGUUGUUCGGAAUUACUGGGCGUAAAGGGCUCGUAGGCGGCCAACUAAGUCAGACGUGAAAUCCCUCGGCUUAACCGGGGAACUGCAUCUGAUACUGGAUGGCUUGAGAUUGGGAGAGGGAUGCGGAAUUCCAGGUGUAGCGGUGAAAUGCGUAGAUAUCUGGAGGAACACCGGUGGCGAAGGCGGCAUCCUGGACCAACACUGACGCUGAGGAGCGAAAGCCAGGGGGAGCCAA